UACGGGGGGGGUAAGCGUUGUUCGGACUUACUGGGCGUAAAGGGCUCGUAGGCGGCCAACUAAGUCAUACGUGAAAUCCCUCAGCUUAACUGGGGAACUGCGUGUGAUACUGGAUGGCUUGGAUUUGGGAGAGGGAUGCGGAAUUCCAGGUGUAGCGGUGAAAUGCGUAGAUAUCUGGAGGAACACCGGUGGCGAAGGCGGCAUCCUGGACCAAUAUUGACGCUGAGGAGCGAAAGCUAGGGGAGCAAACGGG
rnacentral:rRNA from 1 species